rnacentral:rRNA from 1 species
GAUGAACGCUAGCGGCAGGCUUAAUACAUGCAAGUCGUACGGGAUCCGAGGUAGCAAUACUUUGGUGAGAGUGGCGCACGGGUGCGUAACACGUAUGCAACCUACCUUUAACCGGGACACAACCAUGAGAAAUUGUGGCUAAUAUCCCAUAACACUGCGAAGAGGCAUCUCUUUGCAGUUAAAACUCCGGUGGUUAUAGAUGGGCAUGCGCGACAUUAGCUAGUUGGUGAGGUAACGGCCCACCAAGGCUACGAUGUCUAGGGGUUCUGAGAGGAUUAUCCCCCACACUGGUACUGAGACACGGACCAGACUCCUACGGGUGGCUG